rnacentral:misc_RNA from 1 species
GGGAGAAAUAGGCUUUUUCAGUGAACCUGGCAGAGGGAGUACAUUUUCAUUCACUGCAGCCUUCACAAGAGGAGAAGAAGGUUCUUUAGAGCGUAAAUGGAAACAGUAUGAUCCAGCUUUUCCAGAAUUUCGUGGGUUAAGAGCAUUGGUGGUUGAUGAUAAAAGCAUUAGGGCAGUGGUCACAAGAUACCAUUUGCAGAGACUGGGUAUAUGUGUCAACAUAACUUCCACAAUGCGUUCAGCAUGCUCAUAUCUCUCUAAUUACUCCAAUACUAGUUCGUUGGAACAUUUAGCCGUGGUUUUUGUUGACCAAGAUAGUUGGGAUAAAGAAACUUCUCUUGCACUAAGUAAUAUGUUGAAAGAGGUCAGACCAAAUGGCUCAACUACUACUUUGGGGAAGCCUCCAAAAAUCUGUCUCUUAUGUAUGAACUUUAUGGAGAGAGCUGAGCUUAAAAUAGCUGGAAUUGUGGAUCACGUGUUAACAAAGCCUGUGCGGUUGAGUGCGUUGAUAACAUGUGUUCAAGAAGCCAUUGGCUGCCAAAAUAAGAAGCAAGUGACUCAACCUACAACUCUUGGAAGUUUGCUGACAGGAAAGCAUAUAUUGGUGGUAGAUGACAAUAAUGUAAACAGGAGAGUGGCAGAAGGUGCUCUAAAGAAGUAUGGGGCGAUAGUGACUUGUGUAGACAGUGGAAAGGCUGCUUUGACACAUCUUAAUCCACCACACAAGUUUGAUGCUUGUUUUAUGGACCUCCAAAUGCCUGAAAUGGAUGGGUUUGAAGCGACACGACAAAUACGUAAUCUAGAAAACAAAUAUAAUGAAAAGGUGAAUUCUGGUGAGUUAUUUUCCGGCAUGUCUGCCAGAGUGGCUCAUUGGCACACACCAAUAUUAGCAAUGACAGCAGAUGUAAUUCAAGCAACAAAUGAAGAGUGCGUGAAGUGCGGUAUGGAUGAUUAUGUAUCAAAACCGUUUGAAAAAGGGCAGCUUUAUUCAACAGUGGCACGCUUCUUUGGGUCAGGAUAAAGGGACUAAGCUAUAU